rnacentral:misc_RNA from 1 species
AUAAAAUGAUAAUUUUUUGAGGUUUUCAAUCUCAAAAAAUAAUUCACCAUUUGUGCAUUGUUAUUAGAUAUACUUUGGUUAGAGCUUUGAUUUCAUUUAUUGGAAUCAACUUCUCGCUGACUCUAUCCUUUCUGAGGACAGUUGGCUGUGAAGCGGCCUACCAAGGUUUUUUUAUCAAACUCUUGUGUUUUGUCUGACCUAAAUAUCAAUAAUUAAAUCA